rnacentral:rRNA from 1 species
UGAUCCUGGCUCAGAACGAACGCUGGCGGCAUGCCUAACACAUGCAAGUCGAACGAGACCUUCGGGUCUAGUGGCGCACGGGUGCGUAACGCGUGGGAAUCUGCCCUUGGGUACGGAAUAACUCUCCGAAAGGAGUGCUAAUACCGUAUGAUGUCGAAAGACCAAAGAUUUAUCGCCCAAGGAUGAGCCCGCGUAGGAUUAGCUUGUUGGUGAGGUAAAGGCUCACCAAGGCGACGAUCCUUAGCUGGUCUGAGAGGAUGAUCAGCCACACUGGGACUGAGACACGGCCCAGACUCCUACGGGAGGCAGCAGUGGGGAAUAUUGGACAAUGGGCGAAAGCCUGAUCCAGCAAUGCCGCGUGAGUGAUGAAGGCCCUAGGGUUGUAAAGCUCUUUUACCCGGGAAGAUAAUGAC